rnacentral:rRNA from 1 species
CCUACGGGAGGCAGCAGUGGGGAAUCUUAGACAAUGGGGGAAACCCUGAUCUAGCCAUGCCGCGUGAGUGACGAAGGCCCUAGGGUCGUAAAGCUCUUUCGCCAGGGAUGAUAAUGACAGUACCUGGUAAAGAAACCCCGGCUAACUCCGUGCCAGCAGCCGCGGUAAUACGGAGGGGGUUAGCGUUGUUCGGAAUUACUGGGCGUAAAGCGCACGUAGGCGGAUUGGAAAGUUGGGGGUGAAAUCCCAGGGCUCAACCCUGGAACUGCCUCCAAAACUAACAGUCUAGAGUUCGAGAGAGGUGAGUGGAAUUCCGAGUGUAGAGGUGAAAUUCGUAGAUAUUCGGAGGAACACCAGUGGCGAAGGCGGCUCACUGGCUCGAUACUGACGCUGAGGUGCGAAAGUGUGGGGAGCAAACAGGAUUAGAUACCCUGGUAGUCCACACCGUAAACGAUGAAUGCCAGACGUCGGGCCAGUAUACUGUUCGGUGUCACACCUAACGGAUUAAGC